rnacentral:tRNA from 1 species
UCGGUCGCCGGGAGCCGGAUGCAUCCAAAAUGAAUAGGCCGCCGGUUCGAUUCCGGCAGGCG